rnacentral:rRNA from 1 species
UGGGGAAUAUUGCACAAUGGGCGGAAGCCUGAUGCAGCAACGCCGCGUGGGGGAUGACGGCCUUCGGGUUGUAAACCUCUUUUGGCAGGGAAGAAGCUUUUGGGUGACGGUACCUGCAGAAGAAGCACCGGCUAACUACGUGCCAGCAGCCGCGGUAAUACGUAGGGUGCGAGCGUUGUCCGGAAUUAUUGGGCGUAAAGAGCUCGUAGGCGGUCUGUCGCGUCUGCUGUGAAAUCCCGAGGCUCAACCUCGGGUCUGCAGUGGGUACGGGCAGGCUGGAGUGCGGUAGGGGAGAAUGGAACUCCUGGUGUAGCGGUGGAAUGCGCAGAUAUCAGGAAGAACACCGAUGGCGAAGGCAGUUCUCUGGGCCGUAACUGACGCUGAGGAGCGAAAGCGUGGGGAUCAAAC